GAUCCCUGACCUUUUCCCUUCUGCCCCGGGGCUGCUGGCUGCCUCUUGGGGACCAGGAACGCUUCGGGGGCCCAGCAGGAGAGGGGAGGCAGAGUCCAGCUUGUCGAGUUCCUACUGAGAUUGGAAGCCUGAAAGCAGUCAGAGGUGUCCCUUGCUCGUCGGAAGCUCGGAGGUGGAACUCAGGCCUGGAUAGAUCCAGAGACAGACAGACAGACGGACGGACGUGCGUUGGAUGUAUUUCUGACCAUUGAGCACAUCACAUGUUGGGACGGCCUGGUCCCAAGAAAGUCCUCAGUAAAUGUCAUCCAACAGAAUAAAAAAUGAACUCCGGCAUUCACUUAUUUUUAAAAAAAUCUGUUUACACUUCGUGCUUGUAUUCCUUCUUGUGGGGAAACUCGAGUUGGGUAAAUUUACCCUUCGCCGUUGGAGGAAGAAUCCCUUUAAUUCGCCCUCAACUACUUCUUUGGAGCUCGAAGUGGCCGCCCGUCGUCGUCCAAGGCUUGGUGUUCCCUUUCCCUACCCCCUCAAAGUGUUGCCUGCCCCUAUAAGGUGCAGAACUCACCAACGAGUCAAGCAAAUCCAUCCCGCUGAGAUCCUGGCGGACCGCGGGAGGGGCACCUGUCAACACAGAGGUGUCUCCGUCUUUGCUAUCCUUUUGGUUCCUCUUCCUAAGCCGUGCCCAUCACAGAAUGGUACCCCAUGUCUCCUGGACUCGAAUUGUUAAUGUCUGUGAUGCCUUGAGGCUUUGGUUUUUUGGGUUUUUUUUUUUUUUUUUUUUGUCUUUUCUAGGGCCGCACCCACGGCAUAUGGAGGUUCCCAGGCUAGGGGUUGAAUUGGAGCUGUAGCUGCCAGCCUACGCCAGAGCCACAGCAACACGGGAUCCGAGCUGCGUCUGCGAUCUACACCACAGCUCACAGCAACGCCGGAUCCUUAACUUACUGAGUGAGGCCAGGGGUUGAACCCACGACCUCAUGGUUCCAAGUCAGAGUCGUUAACCACUGAGCCACGACGGAAACUCCAAGGCUUUGAUGUUUUUGCUGCGUUGAGGCUCAGUGACUUUCCACAGCUGCUGUAGACGUGGAAAGAACAAACGAGAAGCUGGAACUCCCCAGCCUUGGCUCCUAAUGUGCAGCUCAGGGAGAUUCCAGUGAAAACAACUGGUGGGAAGACGUUGGUGUGAGUUCAAGACCCAUCAGUCCUGUGGCGGCCACGUCGAGACAGGAGAGAAAGACUUUGAUCUUUGCUCUGAAAGGUUACAGCUUCCGGUCCGUGUGUGUGACCCUCCCUGCUCUGCAUACGUGUGCGUGGCCCUCCCAUCAGCCCACCUUGCUUCCAGGAGUGAGUGGACAGAGGGAUGGACCCUCUCCAAAGCGUCGGACCAGGCUCAAGUGUUCCUUGUUCCAGCUUGGGCUUCAUCAUGGCCAGAAGGGCCGUUUCCUUUGUCUCAACCUCCCCAUGACUUAACUCUUGCCGGGGUGGCAACAAGGACCCUUUGCUGGGAUUUCCAAGAAUGGCCGUGGCCAGUCCCUUACCAGGAGGGCUCUCGGGUGCGUCUUGGUUCUUUCCCCGUCCAGGACCUCCCAGAAGCCUUUGUUGCUCAUGACACACCAUUUUAUUCAAAUGCAAAUGUUAUUUUUUUGGGAAUCAGAGUCUAAGAUUGCACAAUGAUGGAAAAGCUGAUGGAAAUCAAACCUCUCUCUUUGUACUUCACUG
rnacentral:lncRNA from 1 species